rnacentral:rRNA from 1 species
GGGGGGGGGGGGGGGGGGGGGGGGGGGGUGGGGGGGGGGCGGGGGGGCCCUGCGGGUGGGGGGUGCUCGAGUGGCGAGCGGUGGAGUGACCCUUGGGUGGUCUGCCCGUUGCUUUGUGGUAACUUCAGUAAGCUGGUGCUAAUCCCCGAUCGGAGCUCCUGCUGCCUUCUGCGUGAUAGACAUGUUCGGCGGUUGGGGAUGGACUCGCGGCUGAUCCGCUUGUUGGUGGGGUAGUGGCUUACCAAGGCGUUGACGGGUCGCCGGCCGGACAGGGUGACCGGCCUCAUUGGGACGGAGAUACGGCCCAGAGUCCUACGGGAGGAAGCAGGGGGGAAUAGUGCAGAAUGGGCGGAAGCCUGAUGCAGCAACGCCGCGUGCGGGAUGACGGCCUUCGGGUUGUAAACCGCUUUCGCCUGUGACGAAGCGUGAGUGACGGUAAUGGGUAAAGAAGCACCGGCUAACUACGUG